rnacentral:lncRNA from 1 species
GUUCAUCAACAUAACCCAGUUAGGGUCGCACUCAUCACGGGGCCCCCAUUGCCUCUGGCGCACCCCACGACUGACAUCUGCGGGGCCUUCGCGCUAGGCUUCGAGUUUCAGCUUCCGCACCAGGCCUGCCUUUCUGCAGGGGCCAGGGUGGGGGUCGUGUGCUGAUUGGGCCCUCUGAACCGCCACCGCUGCAGAGGGGCUGUUCCUUCUGUCACAUCCCUUGUGCCCGAAUCCACCCUGUGUCUUCUCUUUUCUCAGCAGGACAUUUUAAAAGCCCAGACCCCCUCCUUACAGAGCAAAUGUCCAGGCUUCGGAGGUCACUGUCACAUCCCAAGAACCCCCUUCACCAGGUGCCACUCUUGAGACUGGACUGAAGCCCCCUGGAGAGUUCCACUUGCCUUUGUCCUGCUGCCUGAGGUGAGGACAUGGACGGCCGGGUACAAGACGGGGCAGGCAACCUCGCAGUGGUGGUAACCCUGUGCAUGAACCCUGGGCCUGGCACGUGGACCUCCUGUGACCGUCCCCACAGGCCCGUGAGGCUGAGCUUGGCACUGCCCAAGACCACACAGUCCAUGCGCGGUGGAGCUGGGGUCCAGGCUGCCCACCAGGGCAGUGACUACAAUGGUGGCAGCAGGGGACGGUCACCGUCAUGAGCUCAAGCCAGGCGCUGCACUGACCUUGAGGGAGGGCUCCAUGCUUCCCCUUCCCACAGCUGCAGUGAGGCCUAGCAGAGCAGGGUCGGCUGCGGGCUUGAGUCCUGGGGUGCCCCUGGGCUGACGGGCCCUGCCUGACCUGCUCCUCCAGUGCCCCAGCCCUGCCCCACCCACGUCCCCUCCUCUCACUGCCCCCUGGCCCACUCCGCUGCGGUCUCAGUGCCUUCCCAGGCUGGGCAUCAUCUGAUGGGAGGAAAAUGAGGGCCCCAGACUCUGUGUCAUCCUGGCAGGACCCCUCCCCUCCCAUGGCUUUGAGCCCAUGAGAUGGCCUUGGACAAAGCGGCAAUGGGCCCUUCCUGAGACACAGUGCGGCCAUCUACUGGAAAACUGCCCAGUGUGACUCUGAUGACUGUGAUGUGAAUCCUACAGCAAAGUUGAGCAGUGCGCAACCUGGGCUACUGCACCUGGCAGCCCCGGCUCCUCCUCGUCUGCCUCUUCCUGCUCCUUCAUUCUCCCCCAGAGCUCUAAUUGUCACUGAGAUUUUAUGUUUCAUUUAACAAAUGACUGUCUCCCCGCUUGAACAGAACCUCCAUGGGGGGAGGGAAGAGUGUCUGUUGUAUAAAUAGUUGUAUUUCAGUGCAUAAAACAGUGCCUGCCUCAAA